rnacentral:rRNA from 1 species
GGCGGCGUGCUUAACACAUGCAAGUCGAGCGGAAAGGCCCUUCGGGGUACUCGAGCGGCGAACGGGUGAGUAACACGUGAGUAACCUGCCCCUGACUCUGGGAUAAGCCUGGGAAACUGGGUCUAAUACCGGAUAUGACAUCUACUCGCAUGGUGUGGUGUGGAAAGUUUUUUCGGUUGGGGAUGGGCUCGCGGCCUAUCAGCUUGUUGGUGGGGUAGUGGCCUACCAAGGCGACGACGGGUAGCCGGCCUGAGAGGGCGACCGGCCACACUGGGACUGAGACACGGCCCAGACUCCUACGGGAGGCAGCAGUGGGGAAUAUUGCGCAAUGGGCGGAAGCCUGACGCAGCGACGCCGCGUGGGGGAUGACGGCCUUCGGGUUGUAAACCUCUUUCAGCAGGGACGAAGUUGACGUGUACCUGUAGAAGAAGCGCCGGCUAACUACGUGCCAGCAGCCGCGGUAAUACGUAGGGCGCGAGCGUUGUCCGGAAUUAUUGGGCGUAAAGAGCUCGUAGGUGGCUUGUCGCGUCUGCCGUGAAAGCCCGUGGCUUAACUACGGGUCUGCGGUGGAUACGGGCAGGCUAGAGGCUGGUAGGGGCAAGCGGAAUUCCUGGUGUAGCGGUGAAAUGCGCAGAUAUCAGGAGGAACACCGGUGGCGAAGGCGGCUUGCUGGGCCAGUUCUGACGCUGAGGAGCGAAAGCGUGGGGAGCGAACAGGAUUAGAUACCCUGGUAGUCCACGCUGUAAACGUUGGGCGCUAGGUGUGGGGGUCUUCCAUGGUCCCUGUGCCGUAGCUAACGCAUUAAGCGCCCCGCCUGGGGAGUACGGCCGC